GCUACAAACCGGGUUAUCGCUUUAUGGUUACGACCAUAGGGAGGAAAGUCUGGACAGCGCAGAGCAGUGCACCGGUGAAGAGCCGGGUCCGCCGAAAGCGGAACAGAUAGUGCCACAGAAAAUAACUGUCCCGAUCGGCUAAUGCAGAUCGGGAUGAGGGUGAAAACGUAGGGUAAGAGCCUACGAUGAUUGGCAGCAAUGUUAAUCAUGGGUAAACCUUGCAUGCUGAAAUGCCACAUAGGUCAGCGCCUGAGAGCUGCUCGUUCGAUGCUGAUGGGUGGGCAGAUUGAUCCCGGCAGGUAACUGCCGGGGCAGAUAAAUGAUAACCUCGCCGGCCCGGCCGGCGAUACAGAAUCCGGCUUACAGGUUUGUAGCAUUU
rnacentral:RNase_P_RNA from 1 species